GGCUAUGCGUGGUAGCCACAUAAUGGCAUUCUGUAGUGGAAAAAAUUCAUUUAUCUGGCUUUGAAGCAAUCUCAUUCAGCUUCUUCAUCCGAGCACAUUGUACGUGCUGUUCUGUAUGGAUAUUCCCCAGGCAUUAUGUCUCCAGCAGAAAAUGCCUUUGGACUUUUUACAGUAACCCAAUGUGUAGUUUGGCUCUGGGUGAAUCUGUCUCAAGGGCUAGGCCAGCUACGUGCCAUCUUAGAUACAGGUUGUAGACGGGAUUUCAAUAGACAGGGGAAAAAAAGAUCCCCCCCCCUACAAUCUUGAUUUCAUCACUGUAGUUGUAGGUGGGGGGAAAGUCAGGCUUUGCCUCUGUGCAGUGAUGAUAAUAAAUGCUCCCCACUCUCCCUGCUUUGGCUUGGUUGGCCUGACGUGGCUCCUGUGGGGAAAGCUCAGCCAGUGUUUGCUUGUCAGCUUUUUCAGUAGUGAAUUCCUCCCUACAGAUACUUCAUCCAUUCGCCACAAACAAGCUUCAUCAGCUGUUUCAAUACAGUGAAAAAUUAAGGUUGGUUUUCUUUUUAUUUUAAUCCAAAUAUAUCUAUCUCUUCCUGUGUUCUUAGCAACCAGGAGAACUGUUAAGAAAAAAAAUAGUUUCAAAUCUUUUCAGCGAGUAUUAAAAUCUGAACUGAGAACUUGCUUUAUUUCUGCCAUAUGCAGAAAUAGUUGUUCUGGUUUGUUUUUUAGUAAGUUUGUGUGCUGUUCUGUUGGGAUAAGUCAUCGUCACUUUGCCAUCAUAGAACUCAAGGAGGAAAAAAAAAGCUGCUUUUUUGAGUAGGUGUUGCUGUAGCCUCUUACCUCUGCUGCAUUACAGUACUAAGAUAAGCUUUAAAUAACAUCCCCCAGGCAGGUAGCUUACCUUUCUGUAACCUGUUGUUGCACCCUGUUGUCCCAACUGAGUGCACAAAUCAAGGUUGCAAUGCACAUCUGCACAUCCCCAACAGCUGGAGCAGGGCUCCUUGCCUUCCUUGUGCCACGUGCAGGGUUCUGCUUUGAUGUUGCUGGUGCAAGGAGACGCUCAGGGAGGAGAGGAAGUGUAGGACUUUGCUUCUUCCUUUUAAGGUUUUUUUUUUUUGAAAGCAGUUCCUUAAUUCUAAAGUUGAGGGAAACAUUUUCUAUUCUAGGUGAGGAAUAAAGCACAUUAUGCAUCUCUAACAGGUUUAGGAUGAUGCUGAGGGGCAUCUUCCAACUGCAGAACUUGUGCUCCUUCCCGUAACUUAAAAAAAUAACAAAAUCUUUCUGCAGAGCUGAGGAACAGUAAUUAAAUUGUAGCUGCAGGAAUAAUGAUAGAUACGGGCCCCUUGCCCACACCUUUUCAUCACCGCACCCAUCUCCCAUCUGGUUUUUGUUUGCCCUAAAGCUGAAGCGGUUUCAGGAUCCUCCUGCAUGCGUGUUUUCACCGUGUGCCCAUUUUAAAUCUCUCCAAGUAUUUUAAUGAAUUAAUUAAUUGACAGUUGCUGACCUCAACACAUGUACAUCCUGUAAGUCCUGACUUGCAUCAGGCACUUUUCUUAGCAGAGCAGCCCUUCUGGGGGCUGUUCCAAAUCUAAACUUCGCUGUUGUCCAAUAAAUUCCCAUUCUGAAUCACUCAAUGUCAACUUGAUGUUGGCUCUCCUGCCAGAGCACAAAGGACAAGGGUGGCAUUAAAAACAUGGGAAGCGAUAUUUUGGGAAAUGCCCAGCCACUCAGCUUCCUUGCAACAUUCCAUUUUUGUCUUUUCCCAUUGUAGCGUAUGUCAGCACUGCUUCAAACUACCCCGUGGCAAGUGUGGUAAAAGCUGAGGGGAUUUAUGCAAGCACCUGUAAUGCUGGUAGAUAGUUCCCUGUAAAAAAGUCUUGUAAAAGGGGAGGGAGAGGCUAUGGCUUCCUAUAGCAUUACUGGAUGAUAGCCCGGAGCUGUAACUGGAAUAACCUAUGAAACAUUCUCAGUGAUGGAACCCGUGUACCAUAUGAGAACAGAAUGUUGUAUGAUCUUUACCCAUUAUCUAAUUAUACAGGAACUUACAGCCCUGGAGGGUGAAAAACUAAUUAAAUUGUUACCACUUUUUAAAAGGUAGCAAAGAAGUGAGGAAUAUUUGUUUUUUUGGCUCCUGCUCCACUGCUUAUGUUCCUUGAGAAGUGAAUGAGGCAGCCUGGUGGGGAUAUAGCACUCUGCUCACUGAUCCUCUUAAUGCUGCAGGGGGUUGUAGAGGCAAGGAACUUGCUUUUAGGAGUGGACUGCUUACUCAAAAACAACUCAGCUUUGGAGUUGCAACUCAGCAGUAAGGAGGAUUCACUGAUUCACUGUCCCAGCUUAUCCAUGAGAGCAGCUGGUGCUGAAGAUUUCUUACCUUCAGUGCAAUAUGGACGAUCAUUUACAACGGAGGAUUUGUUUGUGCAGAAUUUUAAACAGAGUAUGUCUGGCGUGCUUGGUCCUUUGGUAUGGAUGGAACAUGGUGGGAAAAGGCCUUGGUUUUUACCCUGCAUUUUGGCUUGCUGUUAUCACCUGGGAACAGAGCUGCCAGUCAAAAAAGCAGUGGAAUUUUCUGCGUUGUUUCAGGUCCUGCAGCUUUUGUACCAGUGGGUAGUACCUCUGUAGAGGCCUCAACCUGAACGCGCCAGCAUUUAGCACCUUAGACUCUAAUUUCACUUUCCAAACAGCACUGACCAGCUUCCACCUCACACUGAAGUGCAUGCUUUCAUUCAGAGCCUUCACUCCUUCCUCUCGGGAUGCGCUCACUAUUGCUUUACUUGUGAAAUCGCCAACCACUCACAGCUUAAACCAACAUCCCCAGGCACGAAGAAUGCACCAGCCUCUUGAGAACAGAGCGAGCCCCACUGACCUGCUGUUCUUUGCUGUUGCAGGGUGCAGACAGGUCUCCUCCCGGGGUUAAGCUCAGCAGAGCAGCACACCUCUCCUUGUAUUGCAGCAGCAAGCGAUGGCUGCUGUGGGGUUUGGGAAUGAACUAUUCCUCUGCUUGUGCCAGCAAAACCAGUAGGCGUCCUCAAAGCAGGCUGUGGGACAUAAAACACAACUGUGUGAUUGUGGUGCUCCUGAUAGUUCACGGCUCACACCUGAGAUGGGACAGACUAUUAUAGAGCAGUCAGCUUUGCGGAAGUGCUGUCCUUUCCAAACUCAAGAGGCCAAUUAUUUUAACCAGAAGGGCCUAAUUGCCUGUAAGAGACUGGGAAUGAAAUGCCAGUGAGUGCAGUGACCCCCAGCAAUUUCUGGGGAGCAGCUGAUGUGCCAUCCACGUUCUCACAGCAACAUGGGUGCAUACGUUUCCGGGUUGCUGGCGAUUAGAGCUCUUAGCAAGAUGACCUGUACACUCAAGCUGGCUUUCUCCAUCUUUCCCUGAAUACACGGCGUACAUUUCUGCUGUAAAAGCAUUGCAAUUUUAUUUAAAGUAAUGGAUGCAUCGUGGCUUACACCGCCCUGGAAGCAGCUGUUUGAAGGGGAGCAGAGCACAGAUGGAGGUCUGGGUUUUCCUCAAGGACAGCUUCGCUUGGAGAAACAAAGCUGAGAAAAGUGCACAAGAGGGGGGAGAGAGGAAAGCCCUUCUCCCCAAGGUUUGCUCAAGUUCUCAUGCCGGAGAAGUUGUUAAAGGGUAGGGAGUGUAAAUCCACUAACGCCAGAAAUCCAUUUUUCUUCAAACCAAGUUCCUCUUUGAACCCCUGGGAAGGAGAAAAGACACAAGACCAAACCCAAAAAUCACACUGCUGCCUCCUCGGGCACCUCAGAUAGAUGGUUGCACAUCACCUUACGCUGCCGGUCCAUCUGCCUUCCAGGAUCCGCAUACACAAGAAUACGCCUGCCAACUUCAAGGGAGAUAUAUCCAUGUGCAGGACGAAGCCUGGAAACCACGAGUAGUUGCACUUUUACUGCCAGAAGCAACAUUUUAAUCUUAAGUAUUGGCUCCCGACAGAGGCUGUAUUCUGAGGCACUGCAACAUCUUUCCUCCAUCUGAAUAAUUGCGAGUGUCUGUCUUUAAUCUGUUCUCAAGGAUUGUUGGGUUUGGGUUUUUUUUUGUUGUUUUGUUUUCCUUAAGUACAAAAGAAAAUGUUUCUGUGUAUACAUUCAUGGCAACGGAGCGACACGGAGACAUCAACUAAUGGAAGGUCCAUAUGUCGAGAGAAUAUUGCAUGUAAUGAGAACUGCUGCAUUUUUGUAAAAUGUAAUGGGACAGAUACGCAGCAGCUGUGGGUUACUCAAGAAGCAGCUAAUUUAGCAAGCUGAAUUCAAGGAUAUUUCCCAGAUCUCCCAAACAAUGAAUAGCAGUGUUGUUUAAGAUUACCAUUAGGCCUUACAUCCUCCUUUGACUGGAAGCAGGGGGAGGAAGCCUCUAUCUGUGCUUCUGGGGCAGAAGUACAUGAUUAGUGCCUAGCUAUCGUAGGAAGCCCCAGGGGAGCAAAGGGGUCU
rnacentral:lncRNA from 1 species